GUGCCAGCAGCCGCGGUAAUACGUAGGCAGCAAGCGUUGUUCGGAAUUACUGGGCGUAAAGAGUGUGUAGGCGGCUAGGUAAGUUCUGUGUGAAAUCUCCCGGCUUAACUGGGAGGGUGCGCCGAAAACUGCCUGGCUAGAGUGCCGGAGAGGAAAGCGGAAUUCCUGGUGUAGCGGUGAAAUGCGUAGAUAUCAGGAGGAACACCGGUGGUGUAGACGGCUUUCUGGACGGCCACUGACGCUGAGACACGAAAGCGUGGGGAGCAAACAGGAUUAGAUACCCUGGUAGUCC
rnacentral:rRNA from 1 species